rnacentral:rRNA from 1 species
AUUGGGCGCUGGCGGCAUGCCUUACACAUGCAAGUCGAACGGUAACAGGUUAAGCUGACGAGUGGCGAACGGGUGAGUAAUACAUCGGAACGUGCCCAGUAGUGGGGGAUAGCCCGGCGAAAGCCGGAUUAAUACCGCAUACGACCUACGGGUGAAAGGGGGGGAUCGCAAGACCUCUCGCUAUUGGAGCGGCCGAUGUCAGAUUAGGUAGUUGGUGGGGUAAAAGCCUACCAAGCCGACGAUCUGUAGCUGGUCUGAGAGGACGACCAGCCACACUGGGACUGAGACACGGCCCAGACUCCUACGGGAGGCAGCAGUGGGGAAUUUUGGACAAUGGGCGCAAGCCUGAUCCAGCCAUGCCGCGUGCGGGAAGAAGGCCUUCGGGUUGUAAACCGCUUUUGUCAGGGAAGAAACGCUCUGGGUUAAUACCCUGGGGUAAUGACGGUACCUGAAGAAUAAGCACCGGCUAACUACGUGCCAGCCGCCGCCGUAA